GCCCAAGCAGUGGGGUGAGGAAUCGAAGACAGGCGCGCUCGCUCGGGGCGGAGUGAUGGCUCGCAGCCCUGGGCACAGGACAUACGGGCAGGUGCCCGUUCCCACCCCAGGGAGCCUGUGCUGACAUCGCCCUCCCCCCCGGUUAUCCAGAAACCUUUCUAUUUUCAAGUCAGCCGAUUAACCAUCUCAGUUCCACCUGCAACUUUCAUUUCCCUUUGCCACGGAAAGUGACAUACCCCCAGGCUGUGGGGAAGAGGACAUGGACAUCUUUGGAGGGAGGGACGGUAUUCUGCUGGCCACAUCACAUUUUCAUCAAGUUGGACCGAACGCAUCCCCCCAUUAGAUGCUAACAAAGGACCACACACCAUCACCAAAAAGUCUGUCCCCACAGGCCGGUUGUAGGGAGCGGCGAUCCCACCUCUGCACCCGCGAACCUCCCCGCAGGGCUGAACCCACAGCCAGAAGAACCAAGCCGGAAGCCGACUCUGGGCAGAAGGAGAGAGUGCUGUGGGGCUGGGACUUCCUGGCUGGAAGGCCACGUGCGUGAGGUCGUCGCUCCCUUCCUCCUUGUGUGGGGAUGAGACACUGCUCCUCUGGCCACUUUCAGCAUUGAAAAAGGAAACGACCAGAAAUGCACUUUGUACCGAGAGCUCACCAACUGCUAAGUCGGAGGCUCCACUGGGCCGCCUGUCUGCACCCGGGCUGCGUCAGACCCGGCUGGGCAUCUGGGCCCCAGGACGCCUGGCACUGCUGCCGGGGGGGAGGUGUCCUGAGCCUGGACUGGAACCUUCCAGAGUUCAGAUGUUCUGCUGUGAUGGCCCCAGGCCCUGGCGAUGUCUCUGGAAUUCUAUUUUCUUCACUCCUGCAUGGCAGGCGGCGGGUGACCGCGUUUGGCGCCGUCUUCCCCUGGGAGGCAGGUGUCCGCAUCGUAAACGCCUAUGAGGAAAAGCAAAGCUGAGGUUCGGUAACCUGUGGGGGGACAAUGACCUACAAUUUUGAGAACUGCUCUUUGUAAGUGUCUACCACGCCUUCUCCUUUCCUGAGGUCUCCAGGUCUCCUCAGCCCCACCAGUGGCCGCCUGGCCCAUCCCGCGUUUCUAACAAAAAAAAAAAAAAAAAAGGAAAAAGGAUUAUCACUGAGACCUCACUGGCCCUCGGCAGUCACAUCCCCUCUAUCAGCAGCUCCUCCAGAUGUUCGACUGGGAAAGGAGGUUUCUCAACACGCCUCUCCCCACCCGCACGGCUGCUGGGCAUCGUUCCUGCCUCAGCGCCUCCUGCCUCCAUCCUCUGCUCAUGACCUGAUACCUCUCGGCCCAAGAUGGUUGCUUGAACUCCAGUCAUCAGCAGUAGGAAGAAAGAAGGGAGUGAAAGUCAUGUCCCCUCUUUUCAAGGACAGUUCUUGGAAACCAUGUGGCACACGCCCCUUUACAUUGCAUUGGCCGGAACCCAGAACUGAGGCUUGAGAAGCGUGGUCCGUACUGUGGCGGUGGUGUGCCAAGUCGACUCCCAGGGCUCACUCCCUAACAAACAGGGAGAAAGCGGGUGCCUGGGGGGCUCAGUCAUUAAGCAUCUGACUUUGGCUCAUGUCAUGAU